rnacentral:misc_RNA from 1 species
AAGUCGUAACAAGGUUUCCGUAGGUGAACCUGCGGAAGGAUCAUUAACAAAUAUGUUUUUGCAUAUCCAAAUCUAGGUCUGUGCAUUCACUACCUGAUGGUAGUGCUUGAACGUCCCUAGUACAACACACUGAAAAUGGAGGCUUGAAAGCCGCCGUUUCAUUUAACAAGAACCUGGGGUACUUUAAGGUAGAGGUGUAAAAAACCUUUACUUUAGAGCCCUCUAAUAAUCCCCCUCCUCUUUAUUUUACCAUAUUUUACCCUUAAAGACUAUAAGACUGAUAUGACAUGGUUUAGUGUCUUAACAUUAAAUCUUAUGAAACAACUCUUAACAAUGGAUAUCUCGGUUCUG